UGGACAUCUGUUAAGAACCUUGAGUGGUACAUGGAUGGAAACAUGAGCUAAAAACUAUAAAGUCAGGCUGAGAUGAGGAUGCUUGCUGCUGAACAGACUCUAGCCCAGAAGGAGUUUUGAAGUGAUGACUCAAGACUGCUACUAUGAUCAUGGAUAUGGAAGAUCUCCCAGGAAGAAAACCAGUUGAAGAGCCUACAUCUUCAAGACCAAGCACAAGAAUCACAUUUAGCAAUGAGAAGCUAAAACAUUUACAACAUGGAAAGUGAAGAAUAGAACAAUUUUAACAAAUGACCUGGAGUUCCAUAUAUAUAU